rnacentral:rRNA from 1 species
GACGAACGCUGGCGGCGUGCCUAAUACAUGCAAGUUGAGCGCUGAAGGUUGGUACUUGUCCCAACUGGAUGAGCAGCGAACGGGUGAGUAACGCGUGGGGAAUCUGCCUUUGAGCGGGGGACAACAUUUGGAAACGAAUGCUAAUACCGCAUAAAAACUUUAAACACAAGUUUUAAGUUUGAAAGAUGCAAUUGCAUCACUCAAAGAUGAUCCCGCGUUGUAUUAGCUAGUUGGUGAGGUAAAGGCUCACCAAGGCGAUGAUACAUAGCCGACCUGAGAGGGGGAUCGGCCACAUUGGGACUGAGACCCGGCCCAAACUCCUACGGGAGGCAGCAGUAGGGAAUCUUCGGCAAUGGACGAAAGUCUGACCGAGCAACGCCGCGUGAGUGAAGAAGGGUUUCGGAUCGUAAAACUCUGUUGGUAGAGAAGAACGUUGGUGAGAGUGGAAAGCUCAUCAAGUGACGGUAACUACCCAGAAAGGGACGGCUAACUACGUG